AUUGAACGCUGGCGGCAUGCUUUACACAUGCAAGUCGAACGGUAACAGGCCGCAAGGUGCUGACGAGUGGCGAACGGGUGCGUAAUGCAUCGGAACGUGUCCAGUCGUGGGGGAUAACUACUCGAAAGAGUAGCUAAUACCGCAUACGAUCUAUGGAUGAAAGCGGGGGACCGUAAGGCCUCGCGCGAUUGGUGCGGCCGAUGUCAGAUUAGGUAGUUGGUGGGGUAAAGGCUCACCAAGCCAACGAUCUGUAGCUGGUCUGAGAGGACGACCAGCCACACUGGAACUGAGACACGGCCCAGACUCCUACGGGAGGCAGCAGUGGGGAAUUUUGGACAAUGGGCGCAAGCCUGAUCCAGCAAUGCCGCGUGCAGGAAGAAGGCCUUCGGGUUGUAAACUGCUUUUGUACGGAACGAAACGGCUCCGGUUAAUACCCGGGGCUAAUGACGGUACCGUAAGAAUAAGCACCGGCUAACUACGUG
rnacentral:rRNA from 1 species